rnacentral:rRNA from 1 species
GAUGAACGCUGGCGGCGUGCCUAAUACAUGCAAGUCGAGCGAACAGACGAGGAGCUUGCUCCUCUGACGUUAGCGGCGGACGGGUGAGUAACACGUGGAUAACCUACCUAUAAGACUGGGAUAACUUCGGAAAACCGGAGCUAAUACCGGAUAAUAUAUUAAACCGCAUGGUUCAAUAUUGAAAGACGGUUUUGCUGUCACUUAUAGAUGGAUCCGCGCCGCAUUAGCUAGUUGUUAAGGUAACGGCUUACCAAGGGAACGAUGCGUAGCCGACCUGGAGGGUGGACCGGCCCACAGGGAACGGGACACCGGUCCCAGACCCAACGGGAAGGAAAAAAUGGGAAAUUUUCCGAAUUGGCGGAAGCCUGACGGGAGAAACGCCGGGUGGGAAAGAAGGUUUUGGGGAAGUAAAACCUUUUUAUUAGGGAAGAACAAAUGUGUAAGUAACUAUGCACGUCUUGACGGUACCUAAUCAGAAAGCCACGGCUAACUACGUG